GACGAACGCUGGCGGCGUGCUUAACACAUGCAAGUCGAACGGAAAGGCCCUGCUUUCGUGGGGUGCUCGAGUGGCGAACGGGUGAGUAACACGUGAGUAACCUGCUCUUGAUUUUGGGAUAACUUCAGGAAACUGGGGCUAAUCCCGGAUAGGAGCCCCUGCUGCAUGGUGGGGGUUGGAAAGUCUCGGCGGUCGGGGAUGGAUGCGCGGCUUAUCAGCUUGUUGGUGGGGUAGUGGCUUACCAAGGCUUUGACGGGUAGCCGGCCUGAGAGGGUGACCGGCCACAUUGGGACUAAGAUACGGACCAGACUCCUACGGGAGGCAGCAGUGGGGAAUAUUGCACAAUGGGCGGAAGCCUGAUACAGCAACGCCGCGUGCGGGAUGACGGCCUUCGGGUUGUAAACCGCUUUCGCCUGUGACGAAGCGUGAGUGACGGUAAUGGGUAAAGAAGCACCGGCUAACUACGUG
rnacentral:rRNA from 1 species